AGUGGAAGUAGUGGUGACCUUUGAUAUUAACGUGUUUCUCAAUGAAUUUUGCUUUACCCUGUGUGCAUUUUGGUGAAGUAUACUAAAGGGUUGGUGGAUUUUGGUAUCUUUGUUGUUGGGAGGGAUCGAGAAGCUCAUGGAGCAGUUUUGAUGCAGGAAAUGAAUGCGGGGACAUGGUGCAUGGGCAGGAGCAUAGUUACUGGUCCGUUCCCUUUUUGGAACAGUGCUACUGGAAAGUAAUACAAGCAUUUUCUUUUGGGGAAGUUGCUCGAGUUUUGUAUUCUGAGAUUCUGUGCAAUGUCGCGUUGCUUUCCAUUUCCGCCACCAGGAUAUGAAAAGGUUAUGAGAGAUGAUGUGGACUUGCUAAAAAAGGAAAAGGACAGAGAGAAGAAGCAUAAGAAGGAGAAGAAGAACAAAGAAAAGAGAGAAGGUAAAGAUAAAGAAAAAAGGGAAAAAGAUAGAAGUGAUGGAAAGCUUAGGGAUAAGAAAGAGAAAAAGGAUAAGCACAGAGGCAAAAAGGAGAGGGACAGAGAUAAGGAUAAAGACAAAAUUAGUGCCCCAGAUGUGAAGAGACUUCCAGGGCAAUCUGAACGUAACAUUGGAGAUAAAACCCCAGAUGAGAAGAAAAUUUCUGGGAAAUCUGAGAUUAAUAGUGGAGAAAUAUUCAUCCAAAAGGGAAAGGAAAGAGACUUAGACAGAAAAAGUAUCUCAGAUGAAAAGAAAUUUUCUGGGCAAUUUUCAGGUUACAGUGAGAGGGCCUCUCAGAACAGCCAUCUCACUGAGCAACCAAAGGAGUCUAAUUUUGUACAUGAGGUGAGCAGGAGGACAAGAGAUGAAGUCGGAGGAAUCGGAAAACAGUUGGGUGAGAACAUCAUUAGUGCGGAUGCUAGAAAGGAUGAGCGAAUGGUCAGAUUUGUGGCUAACACUACUGGGACUUUGGCCGAUAGCAAGGAAAAGAACAAGAGGGGUGAUGA
rnacentral:misc_RNA from 1 species